CCUACGGGUGGCAGCAGUGAGGAAUAUUGGUCAAUGGACGAGAGUCUGAACCAGCCAAGUAGCGUGAAGGAUGACUGCCCUAUGGGUUGUAAACUUCUUUUAUAUGGGAAUAAAAUGUUCCACGUGUGGGAUUUUGUAUGUACCAUAUGAAUAAGGAUCGGCUAACUCCGUGCCAGCAGCCGCGGUAAUACGGAGGAUCCGAGCGGUAUCCGGAUUUAUUGGGUUUAAAGGGAGCGUAGGUGGAUUGUUAAGUCAGUUGUGAAAGUUUGCGGCUCAACCGUAAAAUUGCAGUUGAAACUGGCAGUCUUGAGUACAGUAGAGGUGGGCGGAAUUCGUGGUGUAGCGGUGAAAUGCUUAGAUAUCACGAAGAACUCCGAUUGCGAAGGCAGUUCACUGGACUGCAACUGACACUGAGGCUCGAAAGUGUGGGUAUCAAACAGGAUUAAAUACCCCUGUAGUC
rnacentral:rRNA from 1 species